CCAGGAGUUGUUCUCUUUGUUCGCUGCAGAGAAGCACGUGGUCCCCCUGCAGUUUACAGAGCAAGGCCUCGGUUUCGGACACUCUCUCUCAUUUUGUUUGAUUUCUUGGCCUCAAUUCCGAUAUCAUAUUUAGUGAAUUAACGUUCAUCCUCAGAUGGUUGCCACUGUUUUGUUUAGACCCUACCCUUCCCCCAUUUCCCCAGGGUGUGGGUCUGCGAGUCCUCUGCUUUAUUAGUCACGGGACUGGUCAGGGCAGGCCUGUAAACUGCCGACACUUUUUUUUUCUCCUUUCUUUCCUUUCCAGGCUGGAGGGCCUGUGGGCCUGCUGUCCCCCUGUCACGGGCACAGAUGCAGAGAUAACUCUGACAAUUAUUGGUGGAGAACACGGGCACGCUUAAAGUCAAGGAGUUGCAGAGUGCUGUAGCUAGCUUUGACCUGCGUAGAUUAGAUUAUAGGCCAGGUGGUCUGCCAGACUCUAAACACUAUACAGAGCUGUAUUUUUUUUUCCUCUUUUCCUAGCAAAUGCUGGAUCAUAUACUACUCUUUGAUUAAUACCAACAAUCUAGUUUAAUGCAGUGAAACAAUCAACAGUCUUUACCACUCUGCUUUAGUAAUACUUUGGAUAGAGAACUAAUAUCACAAAAUAAUUUUAAAAUGUAUAUUUCUGUAUGAGAAAAACACUGAACUGAAUCUGGAGCAGAGAAUGUUGAACUGUGUUUAGUAACUGUGCCCUAUGGUGGAUUCUGCAAUGGUGCUGAACAAGGGAUUCUCUCUAAAUAUAUAGUCAAUGUCCAUACAAAAUUCAGGUUGAGCGUACUUACGUGUCUGUAGCCAGCAACUCUGGACUCAUAAGGUGAGAAGGAUGGCAAAAAGUGGAGGAGUGGUGCCUUGUACUAUUCAGAAAUGUAAGUGAACAGCUUAAUUGCAAUAUCUGCACCAAAGGAUUAUACCUCUUAUUCAAUAUAUUGUUUUGAAUUAAAAAACGAGAAAUUAAGAAUCAAAAUGCAGGAAACAAAACCUAUGGGAGGUCUGCACCUUAACUGUGUCACUUACUCUUGAGAAAAACAGCACAACAGCUUCUAGAUAGACAAAAAACUGCAACACACAAAAAGUAA